rnacentral:lncRNA from 1 species
UUCUUCCGAUGUCUGAAGCAUUGCUCUCAGCUUUCCAGUAACCAACUUGCAAUCAAACAAUUGUUCUCUUGCUUUGGAUAGAACUUUACCCAUUUCUUUAAUUUUCUCAGAUGCACUAAACAAAGUUGCAUGAGAACACAAAAAAAGGAACUGCCAGAAUCAAUAAGAGCAAAAACAGAGGUAACAUAGACCACAUAGCCAAUGAGAUUCAGGAUUGAGUAUCCUUUACCUGUGAGGUAGACCGGAAUCAGCCGUUGACUCUCCUAAGGCCUGCUGAAUCUCUUUCAGCCUAAUUUGCAAUUCUUUUUGCAAGUCAA